rnacentral:sRNA from 1 species
CUUGGGUCCAAUUAGAGGAAGUAAAAGUCGUAACAAGGUUUCCGUAGGUGAACCUGCGGAAGGAUCAUUACCAACGUAUGCUCUACAGUUCGAUUAUGAAAAUGAUCGUUCUCGCUAGGCACACACAUCUUUGUGAAUCGUCUGGUAGCCUUGGGAUUUAAAAAUAGCGAACCAUAGCGGCUAGCUGAUCCCUAUAGGCAACAAAAAUCUUACUGAAGAACUGAAUCUGGUUGGAAAACUAAAAGUUAACAUGGCCGCAAGGUUAUAAAACAACUUUCAGCAACGGAUCUCUUGGUUCUCGCAUCGAUGAAGAACGUAGCAAACUGCGAUACUUAAUGUGAAUUGCAAAUUCAGUGAAUCAUCGAGUCUUUGAACGCACAUUGCGCUCACUGGUAUUCCAGUGAGCACGCCUGUUUCAGCAUCACAAAGAACCCACAAACCAAUUUGUUUAUUCAAAUUGAUUUGGUUAUGUAUCGUAAAGUAAGUGUUUCGGCACGCAUUUUUGCGAUUUUAAAUAAAGCUUGCAAAGAAUCUUGUCGGUUAUCAACAGAUUGAACUUUAUAAAAUUCAUCGGCUAUGGUUGCUGGUGUUAGUUUAUCUGGGCAGACAUAAGAACGGUUCACAAGGAAGAAAAAGCUCUUUAUUGAGCCGAUCUUUAAUACCAACCAUUUUAAAAUUGGAUCUGAAAUCAGGUGGAU